UACGUAGGGGGCAAGCGUUAUCCGGAUUUACUGGGUGUAAAGGGAGCGUAGACGGCUAAUCAAGUCAGAAGUGAAAACCCAGGGCUCAACCUUGGGACUGCUUUUGAAACUGUGUGACUGGAGUGCAGGAGAGGUAAGCGGAAUUCCUGGUGUAGCGGUGAAAUGCGUAGAUAUUAGGAGGAACACCAGUGGCGAAGGCGGCUUACUGGACGAUGACUGACGCUGAGGCUCGAAAGCGUGGGGAGCAAACAGG
rnacentral:rRNA from 1 species